UACAGAGGGGGCAAGCGUUGUUCGGAAUUACUGGGCGUAAAGGGCGCGUAGGCGGCCCGCUAAGUCGAACGUGAAAUCCCCAGGCUCAACCUGGGAACUGCGUCCGAUACUGGCAGGCUUGAAUCCGGGAGAGGGAUGUGGAAUUCCAGGUGUAGCGGUGAAAUGCGUAGAUAUCUGGAGGAACACCGGUGGCGAAGGCGGCAUCCUGGACCGGUAUUGACGCUGAGGCGCGAAAGCGAGGGGAGCAAACGGG
rnacentral:rRNA from 1 species